CCUUCCACGUGGAACCUGGGGAUUGAACUCAGGUUAUCAGAGUUGGCAACAAUCCCCUUUACCUGCUGAGCCGUCCCGUCGGUCCUUAUAUGACAUGUUUAUAACAGAUGAGAAUGUGCUAAGAACUUCACUCUAAUGUUUUGAUUUAACAAAUCAAACGGCCAAGAUAACCUCACGGCCAUAGCUGGCCACAUGAAGGAUCCUCUUGAUCUGACGGUGGUUUGGUUUGAUUAGAAAGUCGUGUCCCAGCGUCUCCUGACUUGAAAGCUCGGGUGGGUCAUUUGCCCGACCAUGUUUCUACCAUGGUCAGAACUGAGUUCCUGAGCACACAGUGAAACCUGCCUGAUCUUUUUUCCCCUGUGAGCUCUGUUCCAAAGCCUGUUGCGCAAGAGUGGGGGUGGAUGAAGAGCCGCAGGUUUCCUUAUGCAACACACUUCCUCCUGAGGUCACCCCCUGGAUGUAUUUAAUUAGGAUGUGUUAGGUCUCAGCGGAGUGGUGACUCCUACCAGCAAAGAGCUGAGACACCACCUGGGAGUCAUUAAGAGCUGAUAGCAUCGUGUGGCAGGCACCGUCAGCCUCUGCUUUGUGAAGAUGAUCCCACUUUGUUUUCUGAGUUGCCCCUGGGUGGGGCUGCGCGUUAGCAGCUAGCCACUUGCCACUGAUGCCCGACACUGUGAAGUACUUGAUAAAAGCCACUUCCCCUCCCUAGACAUUCUCUCGGUUUGCGAGAAAUACACUAGAGUCUUCCGAAGCUCCAGGGCCAUUUCCUUCCAUUAUUUUGCGGAAAUAAGAGCUAAAGGUACUGGGCGAGAGGGACCCAGAUGAGAACUGACUCUCACAAGUUGUCCUUCGACCUCCACCCGCAUUUCGUGGUAAGUUUGUCUAUAUGCACACACAUGUGCAUGUAUGGGCACAUGUGUGCACACACGCCCAAGUGCACACACGCACACACAAAAUAAGUGUAAUACAUUUCUGAAGUCUAGAUUUCUUUGUUGUGUUUCUUCCUUUUCAUUUUCUUUCCUUCUAAUUUUCUAUGUGAAAGCUGACCUUGCCUCAUGGCAUUAGGGAAAAAAAAUUCUUCAAAAACUCUUACUUGAGGAAAGAAAAUGACUAAUCUCUGGAAGUAGAAAUGGAGGUGGACCCGUGUUCUGGAAGCACAGACUCUAAAUACUGAGAACACAGACCCCAGCGAUCAGCACCAGCAAUGUUAGCGAGGACAUGAAGACUGCAUGCUGUACCCUUAGAAGACACAUUUGUGUUCAUGUCCGAGUGGGGCCCAUUUGGGUCACUGGGUGAAAUGUCACGUCUUGUUCCCAGCCUCUGAAGAUUCAAUUACGUGGACCAUUUUCCAGCCACGCUGUUGCAAUGCGGACCGCUCAAAGGGAGCUUCGGAGGCAUCCCUGCCAUCAUAAACAGGAACCCAGCUGUUUGGAUGAUGGAGCUCUGUUCAGUUCAAAGCAUCUGAAAAUGUGGUUGUUCUCAGUGUCGUGGUGAACCUCCCGUGUGGAAAACCCAGGAUCCUUCUGAGCCACACGCGCGUGUGUCAAGACUUGCCGGUGGGCCCAGGUUGGGGCCGGCUGGGACUUUUCCAGGCCUGUGUUCCGCCACUCAGGGAAGGUGAUGAAACGUAUGCUUUGGUGAUUCAGCCUUUGACAGAUGCUGUGACAAUGCCACCUCCCCAGUCCCAAAUCAAAGUCCCAUUUCUACGGCUACCCAUCCCCCUGAUGUCUGAAAACAAACUAGAGCUUCUAGAACUUCGGGCUCAUUUAAGUUAAAAGCACUGGGCAGGUGAGGCCCAUAUGACGAAGAGGGCAAACGUGAGAGGCUGAUGAAUCCCACUGGCCUGCUCUCCGUGGUAACCUGUCUCCAGUCUCUCUGCCUCCUUGGGUAGAGAGGGACAGUCAGGUUCCGGAGCUCUAGUUGGAAGACCACAUGACCUGUGAAACCCCUACUACUGGGCUGGGCUCCUGAAGGGGCACUGGGUACUGCACAGCGGCACAGGUGGGGCAGUCCAGGGCACUACACGCACUUUCCAGGGGAAGAACCAUGGGAUGGGAGAGGAUGGGUCAGUUAGUUUGUCCAGUACGUGGGAAACCAUUCACACUGCAUACAGGUAGAUGAGAAGCUGUGUUUCCACUAUUUUUUUCUUCUCCCCCCCACUCCCGCACCUCACAGCCCAGAGAAAGAGGUCUUGGAGUCUAUUGAUAAUGUUUCACUUUUCUUCCUUCGAUGACAAACUCAACUACUUCCCAAGCACAGGAGAACUCAAGUGCCCCCAACAACUCAGUCCUGCAAGGCCCUUUUAAGUACCCGGGACCUACAUCAGGCGUUUCAUAGCUGUCUGUAACUCCAGCUUCCUGGAAUCCAGUGACAUUAUCUGGCCUCUAAAGGUACCUUCACACACACACACACACACACACACACACACACACACAUACACACACACACACAUACAUACAAACACACACACACACACACACACACACAAAAUAUAAAAGAUGCGUAUUGAAUGUUUAUCCCUGACUUGGAGAGAUUGUAUUUCAACAGCAGGUGAAUAUUCAUCUCUAGUGUUGUUUGACUUCUGAGGGUCUCGUCACAAAUACUGUCGUUCCCUUCCUCUUUCUCCUCAGUUUAUGCAGAGUUUUUCUUUUUCAUUUUCUGACCAUCUCUCUGCCCAAAUGCUUGGGGGCUGGGGAAGGCUGAUGUUUGGAGAGAUGGUUUUCCUGCACAGGUGUACUCCGCCCAACAUGCGUGUGCUCUUGCCCAGCUUGGCGACCACUCCACCAGAAAGCAUGGCACUCACGGCAUUCCCACCCCUGCACCCUUGAACCCCAUCACUGCCUUGGACAAUAGGAUGUGGGGAGACAGUGUCGAGACACUUGCAAGGCUAACUCUAACACGCAGCACGGUUUUUGCCUAGCUUUCUUGCACUCUCAACCUGAGUAUCGGGCAUCUUGUUUUCAGGAAGCCCAGGCCCCAAGAAGAGACAUCACAUGGGUCUUUGAGCCAAAAGCCAGCGAGAGCCAACACAGGUCAACAGCCCUGUCAGAGAAUGGCCAUCAGGGGGUCUCAACGUUUACUUUGGAGAUUUCUCAGUGGGGACCUCAGACACCAUGGAGUAGAGAUAAGACAUUUGCUGCUUGUUCAACUUCCUGCCCAACAGGAAGUAGGAGAAGUGAUAAAGGGGAUUAUUUCAAGCUGCUGGGCUUGGGGUUUUGUUAGGUAGCAGUCAGUCGAUAACUAAAGGGGGGGGGGCUCUUGUCUCACAGCUGAGGAGGGAAAGCUCCAGAAAUCACCAUGCUGGGGGCCCAGCCCUUUCUUCCAGCUUUUCCUUAUGCGAGCUUGUCUGUUCAUGACAUCUUGUGAUGCAAACUGUAAAACACACCACCAGUCUAGAUACAUGCAAGUUCAUGUAUGUGGCGUGUUAUGUACCUGGUGAUAAAAUUGAAACAUAUGAGAAAAAUACUAAGAAAAUAACAUAAAUCCAAUCUGUGCUUGUUCUCCUCCACUGUAGAAUUGUGUCUCUGAACGUCACUGUGAUGCAGGUUUUUUGAGUAAUGAAAGUAGCAGGGUUUAAGGAAAAAUGUGUGUGUUUAAGGGAAGAAUACACAGUGCAGAAACAAUUUUGUGAUUUAGCUAUUACAAAGUAAGUUACCAACUUUGUAAAAUAAAUGUAAUUUCCUUGCACCAUGGCCCUUGACAAGCACAUGCUGUUUGGGGAAUGGCCUGGUUUUGGAGAAGGGGUGGCAGAAACACAGUGAUAUGACCAGAAAAGGGUCACUGCUUGAAGUGCAAGACCUGCUGAUGCAGUAUCUCAGUGGCCAUUUUUAACCUAUGGGACUUUAAGGCAAUGAAUAACUGGUUUGUAUUGUACUGUAUCAUAGUAUAUUAUAUUGUGCUGUAUGUAUUUGUACUGUACUGUGUUGUAUUAUACUGUACUAUACAGUAUUAUAUUGUACUGUGUCUUAUUGUACAGUGUUGUACUGUACUAUAUUGUGUUAUUUUCAGAGAAAGAUCUCUGUGUAAUGUAUAUUCUUGCAGGUUUUGUCUUCCGGUAAAAAUCCUCUUUGUCCAGA